GUGCGCGUUUUUAAGACAUUUACAUUCUGACAAGGGGUGAGGGGUGGGAGGGGGCGCGUAAAUGCGUGCGUGAGUGCGCGCAGCAGCAGCAGCAGCAGCAGCAAAUCAUGAAUUAAUAAAAAGCCCAAUUCUGCACACUUUCAUCGCUCCGUUUUAAAUAUAUCCGUGCACUUUAAAAAAAAAAAUUCUUCUUUCCACAGCGUCCUUAUUUUAUUUUUAAAGAAAGGGGGGAGAUGCUGUCGUGCACGCGCAUGAGAGACAGAGAGAGCAAGAGAGAGGGAAGUAAGAGAGGGAGGAAGGGGAGAGGCGGGAGCCGGUUCUCAAACGCCGCACGCUCGAAAUUCCUCCAAGGAACCUCUGCGAGCUUUUCUUUUUUCAUCACGCGCGGCGGCUAAAAAUAGAAACGGGGUUGGAUCGUGAUCCAGAAAUAGAUAGGGGGCAUCACUCCUAUAAAAGGCACACCAUUCAAGAGUACAGUGAAGAAAAGCGGCAAGCCGGAGCAGAAUUUAUACGAGAAAGAGCCUUUUUUUCCUGCCACUUUGCGUGUUUUUUGCUUUUUUUGUUUUUUUAAAGAAAAGGAGGCUCCGCUGCCACAAACGGUUUCUACGUCACAAACUGGGAGACGCAGCAGUGACAGAGACACAGCGAGGUCAGCGGUGGAAGUCACUGAGUGAGUGGACAAGUCUGUAAAAAGGAAAGUAAAUGUGGCUUUACGUCAUAUUUAAUAACAACAGCUGCUGAUGUGUACGUUCAGUGUGGACAAACUCACAUCUCAUGUUUCAUCCUGAGAUUUGUUGUAUUUAAACUCUUCUUUCCUUCAUCUUUCUUCCUCUUUCUUAUUGUUCUCAGUCACAGCACUUUAUUAGAAUUCCAAAACAAGCUGAAUUCAUUUUAUUUACUCUUUUUUCCAAGCUGUUUAUGAGCCCAAAUCACCACCGCUGACUCACGUUCAGCACUGAAACAAUAAAAAGUGUCACAACACGACGUCACAUCAAACAUUCGGAGCAGACUUGUGAACAUCAGCUGCUAACUUCCACACAUCUGUCCUCAGAUUGUUGCACAGAAUCAGAGAUUCUUUGCAAAACCCGUGGUGAUAAAUCAUGGCUUCUUUUGAAAUGUGAUCGACUGAAACCGGCUUUUGUCUUAAACAUUUUGUUGUUACUGAGGUCUGGAACCCUCCUUCAGCUCUGGUCCAGCAACUCUAAGAUGUUUAAAACCUCCUUUUUCCUGUAAUUCCCAACUUUUUAGUCAGUUUAUCUUAAAGGAGACGUAAAAUCUAGUUUCUGUGGUUCCCUGCUUUGUGAUUUGUGCAAAUGGUGACAAAAACAUAGUAAAGAGACAGAAAUAGUGAAAAGAUAAACUGAAAAACAGUCAGAUUUAAAACGUCUUAAAGGAAAAUGCAUGUAGAGUUUAGAUUCACAGAGCAAAGAUGCUGCGUGUCAUUGCCGUCAUGUUCGUCCUUUGAUUGCAAAUCAACACAUGAUUUGUUUGGACAAAGACGAAGAAAUUACACAGAAAUAAUGCUUCUAAAUAUGCUGAGGCAUCUCUCUAACAAUAGUUUCACUGUUUAGUUGUGGCACUGACUCGUUUAAAUCUUUAUUUUAAGACACAGAGAGCAAGUUUUGCAGCUGCAGUCAGUGUGCAUUAGUGUGAGUUUUGCAGACGUGUGUGCAAUCAUUUGUUUUUAUCAUUUACAUGCUGCAGUGUAAAUGUGCAGCAUGUGUCAUGAGUGUGUGUUUAUUUGCUGAGAUCUUAAAGUGUCACCAAACAGCAGAAAGCCCCAGGUUCAGCUCCUGCGUUUGCAUCAGAGAGAAACGUUUUACGCAAAAUAAUCAAGCACUAGAAAAACACACAUUAAACGUUUCUUCUCCAGGAAAAAGAGUGAAACUAUCCAGAUGAUCAGUGAUCUCUGGAGUGAACCUGAAGGUUGAAUGAAUGAAUGAAUCUUGACCUGGAGUAAAUCAGACACACGUCGACUUCUAAACUCUUCGAAAAGCAGAAUUAUUAAAAUAUAAAACUCCCCUGAAUGACUCAUUUAGCUCAACUUUCAUUUUGCUGUUGGAUUUGUUUUUUUUUUUCUCUCAGCUGUGUGCACGGAGUCAGUCUGCGUCUUUAUUGUCGUGAGAUGCUGAUGUGUGUAUGUGUCCCUGUGUUGCAUUUCCUUUUAUAUUUUUAUUUCUUUUUUUUUUCCAUUUCUGCUCUCUGAUCUGUCAAUUUCUUACAAUUAUUUUCACUUAAUUUCACAUUUUGUCUCACUUUUGCCUUGUUUUGCGUCUCAGAUUUGUUAAAUGUCUCAUAAAAUCUCAGUCUUUAUCCUAACUUCACCUCAUUUCCUCAGAUUAUGAGUGAAUAUCUGGUUUGUUUUUUGCUGUUUUCCUUCUGAAGGUGCUGCGUGUUUUAAUAUUAAUGAUGCUUUUGCUCUGAUCUAAUAAAAGCCCUGUGAAAUCUUAUAUCGUGUGUCCUCCUUGUGUGUAAUUUUUAAAGAACUGCUUGUCAGCUCUGUGAUGGUUUUGCUGUAAAAUAGCUCAUGGAAAUAAAUAUGAAUAAAAGCCUGCAAAGAUGA